GCUGUUCCCCCACCACUGAGGUGAGGUUGACAGAUUGGUAGUUCCCUGGGUCAUUCUUUCUAUCUUUAAACACAGGUGUGACACCAUUACUUCUCAAAAAGGGUAGUCAGGCAUUGGAAUGCACUACCCAGGGAGGUGGUGGAGUCACCGACCAUGGGAGUGUUCAAGUAAACGUCUGGAUGUUGUGUUGAUGAAUAUGAUUUAGCUGGGAAGUAUUGGUAAUGGUUGGACUAGAUGAUCUUCUAGGUCUUUUCCAACCUUGAUAAUUCUGUGAUUGCCUUUUUUUCUAGCCAUCAGGAACUUCACCUGACAGCCAUAACUGUUCACCAAUACCUUGAGGAGCACUGCCUGCAAACCACCAGCGGUAGAACGGACUGGAAAAGAAACUGAAGACUGAGGAUGCAAAUGGAGACAAAUUGCUUCUGGCAGUGAGUGCAAGCAGUUGGCUCGGGGUAAAAACUCCAGAGAAACACAGGCAGCCAUAACCGCUCCAUCUCACUUCACGUAGGAUCUGAGGUGCCUGAGAGGAAACUCACCCUACACCUGCCUCCUCAGGAGCAGCUCCCGCCAACAGCCACCUCAGCGAGUAGGGCUGGGUGGGGGCGUAGUUAUGUGGUUGUGAGGCGGGGCUUAGCACAAGGGGCCUGGUCUUAUUGAAUAGGGGGCGGGUCAAAGAGGAUUGGGGCGGGGUGCAGGUGUCGCGUCCCGGCGCGGAGCGGGUGUCGGCAGGCGGUGGGAUUGCGGUAUCCCGCCCGCCCCGCGCCGGGUGCCGGCACCGCCUGUUGCAUCGUGCCUCUUGGCUGGUCCAUGGGAACCUUCCACUGACAUCUGUGAAGAUCUGUGUGCCUAUCCCCACUCUUCUCCACACCACACGCUUUCCAUCCUGUACAUUUUAUUGCACGGACAGCGUGUAUACAAUCCAUGACUGCAUCAGCAGAGGUGAGGAAGGCAUUGCAUUAUGUGACCAUGUGAUUUUAUAAAGCAUGACUUUUGGAGAAACUGAUGUAGAAGCAGCCUGGAAAAAGGCAGAAAAGGCUAUUGCAGGAAUAUCCUUUCUUGAUUCCUACCAGGAGACUGUUGCCUGGGGCAGAUCCCUUCUCAGUCCUCUGCUGGGGAUGCUUGUUCACACAAAGUGUGACUGUUGAUCAGCCAUAUUUUGUUUUUAAGCAUGGGACAGCAAUGGACAUUGAACUCAGUAUUGCAGCACAUCCUAUUGUGACACCAGCUUGUCUUGCUAACCGUAAGCGUGCCUUAUUACAAAAUACACACUACUUAUACUGAAGAGUUAGGAUUAAUAACUCUUCUAAAACUGAUACUACAAUGAUUGCCUGCAGCAUUCUGCCCUGUGUAAGAGAUUACACUAGAGAGCCUGUUGUUAUAUCCUGUCCUAUAGUCAUACAUUGUCCUCAGUGCCACAAAUGAACAUUACACGGGUAUGAAUCAACCACUUGCAGGCUGGAGUUGAUUGCUGCAUCCCACCAG
rnacentral:lncRNA from 1 species